GACCGGCGGGUGCCCCAGGCAGUGUUCCCUGUGGGCCUAGCUCCCUGGCCAGUGCCUGGAGCGGGUUCCGCCCUGGAGCCUGAUGCUCCCGGGAAAGCAAGGUGGAGUCCCGGGUGCCUAGGCGGACUGGCGCCCACUGCCAAAGCAUGAAGAGGGGGUAAGGCGAGACCCCCCCACCAGGAUCCCCCGGUGAACUGGCACAAAGGUUGAUCUCAAGAUGCCAUUGGUGAAAAGAAACAUCGAUCCUAGGCACUUGUGCCACACAGCCCUGCCUAGAGGCAUUAAGAAUGAAUUGGAAUGUGUAACCAAUAUUUCCUUGGCAAAUAUAAUUAGACAACUAAGUAGCCUAAGUAAAUAUGCUGAAGAUAUAUUUGGAGAAUUAUUCAAUGAAGCACAUAAUUUUUCCUUCAGAGUCAACUCCUUGCAAGAACGUGUGGAUGGUUUAUCUGUUAGUGUUACGCACGCAGCCUGAUCCAAAAGAAGAGGAACUGUCUUUGCAAGAUAUAACAAUGAGAAAAGCUUUCCGAAGUUCUACAAUUCAAGAUCAGCAGCAUUUCGAUCGCAAGACCACUGCAGGAGACGUAUGACAUUUGCGAGCAGCCUCCACCUCUCAAUAUACUCACUCCUUACAGAGAUGAUGGUAAAGAAGGUUUGAAGUUCUAUACCAAUCCUUCAUAUUUCUUUGAUCUAUGGAAAGAAAAAAUGUUGCAAGAUACAGAGGAUACGAGGAAGGAAAAGAGGAAACAGAAGCAGAAAAAUCUAGAUCGUCCUCAUGAACCAGAAAUAGUGCCAAGAGCACCUCAUGACAGGUGGAGAGAAUGGCAGAAGCUGGCCCAAGGUCCAGAGCUGGCCAAAGAUGCUGCUGAUCUCUUACAUAAGCAUAUUGAAGUUGCUAAUGGCCAGCCUCUCAUUUUGAAACAAGACCUCAGACAUAUGUGGGUCAUAUGGAUGGAUCUUAUUCACUGUCUGCCUUGCCUUGCCGUUUAGUCAGAUGAGUGAGCUUCUGACUAGAGCUGAGCAAAGGGUCUUGGUCAGAUCCCAUGAGCCUCCUGCGCCUCCACCAAUGCAUGGAGCAGGAGAUGCGAAACCCGUCCCCACCUGUAUCAGUUCUGCUACAGGUUUGACAGAAAAUCGCCCUCAGUCACCAGCUACAGGCAGAACACCCCCCACACCACCACCUCUGCCAUCUGCCUUGUCAACGUCCUCAUUAAGAGCUUGGAUGACUUCAACUCCUCCCCACCAGUGCCUCCCCCGCCCCUGCCCCCAGCCCCUCACUGCCUUGCAGGCUCCGGCCGUCCCCCCUCCUCCUGCUCCUCUCCGGAUUGCCCCCGGGGUUCUCCACCCACCUCCUCCUCCCAUCGCACCCCCUCGAGUGCAGCCCUCUCCACCGGUAGCCAGAGCUGCCCCUGUAUGUGAGACUGUACCAGAUCAUCCACUCCCACAAGGUGAAGUUCAGGGGUUACCUCCGUCCUCCCCCCCCUCACCCCCCACCCUGCUGCCUCCAUUCAGCUCCAUCUACUGCCCCAGGUUCCCACGUUCCAUUAAUUCCUCCGUCACAAGUUGUACCUGCUUCUGAGCCAAAGCACCAUCCAUCGACCAUACCUGUAAUCAGUGACGCCAGGAGUGUCCUGUUGGAAGCAAUACGAAAAGGUAUUCAGCUACCCAAGUAGAAGAACAGCGUGAACAGGAAGCUAAACACGAGCGCAUUGAAAAUGACAUUGCCCCUAUCCUGUCUCACCGUAUCGCUGUCCAAUAUAGUGAUUCCGAAAAUGAUUCAGAAUUCGAUGAAGUGGAUUGGUUGGACUAA